rnacentral:misc_RNA from 1 species
UGCGGAAGGAUCAUUAAUGAAUUAGUAGACUCGUAACCCGAGUCGACCCUUCAUUUCCAACACUGUGCACUUUUUGGACUGUCGGAUUGCGUAAAGGCUGAACGUCUCAGGACUACUAAGCUGCGACUGACAAUAGUCUACUUUACCAUUAAACUCUAAAGUUAAUGUAUGUACAAAACUUAUAACAAAGAAAAACUUUCAACAACGGAUCUCUUGGCUCUCGCAUCGAUGAAGAACGCAGCGAAAUGUGAUAAGUAAUGUGAAUUGCAGAAUUCAGUGAAUCAUCGAAUCUUUGAACGCAUCUUGCGCUCCUUGGUAUUCCGAGGAGCAUGUCUGUUUGAGUGUCAUGAAAUCUUCAACAUGAUAUUUUCUUGUUAAAAUAUCAAUGCUUGGAUUCUGAACGUCUUUGCUCUCGCGCUUUCCCUCGUGAAAGAUUGUGACAGCUCGUUCGUAAAACAUUAGCGUCAACCAACACGAAUCGGUUUGACUCGGCGUAAUAGACUAUUCGCUGAGGAUUUCUCUUCGGAGAAGCCGUACUAGAAAUGGCAACGCUUCAAACCUAGUAAUUGUCUACUAUUGAUAAUUCGACCUCAAAUCAGAUAGGACUACCCGCUGAACUUAAGCAUAUCAAUAAGCGGAGGGAAAAGAAAAAAAGAAACUAACAAGGAUUCCCCUAGUAGCGGCGAGCGAAGCGGGAAGAGCUCAAAUUUGAAAUCUGGCACUUUCAGUGUCCGAGUUGUAAUCUCGAGAAGUGUUUUCCGCGCCAGACCGCAUACAAGUCUGUUGGAAUACAGCGUCAUAGUGGUGAGAACCCAGUACAUGAUGCGGAUGCCUGGUGCUUUGUGAUACACUUUCGAAGAGUCGAGUUGUUUGGGAAUGCAGCUCAAAAUGGGUGGUAAAUUCCAUCUAAAGCUAAAUAUUGGCGAGAGACCGAUAGCGAACAAGUACCGUGAGGGAAAGAUGAAAAGCACCUUGGAAAGGGAGUUAAACAGUACGUGAAAUUGUUGGAAGGGAAACGCUUGAAGUCAGACUUGCUAUCUGGAGUUCAUCCGCAAGGAGUAUUCUUCAGUUCGCAGGCCAGCAUCAGUUUUCUGGGGUGGAAAAGGAUACGAGGAAGGUAGCAGCUCUCGUGGCUGUGUUAUAGCCUCGUAUUGGAUUCACUCUGGGGGACUGAGGAACGCAGUGUGCUUUUAGCGGGGCUUUCGAGCCUUUCACACUUAGGAUGCUGGUAGAAUGGCUUUAAACGACCCGUCUUGA